GCUUUCGCCUUUCGCCGGGCUUGAGAGUUAAUGCUGCUGUAUCCUUCCUUGGAUGUCUGAGGUCUAAUUAUUCACAAUCUAUCAACAUAUUGGUUAUAAUUUAGUGGCUAAUGAUGUAUAAUUUUGUCUGUUACACAACUUUAUUUAACUGUUAUACAACUUUUACCUACAUCAUUCCAUGAAAUUUUUCAAUGGUGGAUUUAAUGUAUCAGUGUUUAUACAACUUUUUGUAUGAUGAUAUUAAAUUUCAUGCCAUGAUUUGAAAACACUUAUUUGUAGAAAAAGAAUUAAUUUUUAAGAAAAUAGAAAUUUGAUCUGAUCAAUUACAUAUUACUCUGAAUUUUGUAUUUUAUUGGCUAUGAUGAGUCAUAGAGAUAGUCAUGCACCACUCUGAUGUUUCCGUGCUGAUAAUUUUCUCAUACCCAUUAUUUUUCUGAGCCA
rnacentral:lncRNA from 1 species